GCUAAGUUCUGCUAUGGAGUUUCAAUCAACAUUAGUGCUCAUAAUUUUGUACCUGCACUCUGUAGCUUCUCCAAAUGAAUGAGUCUAUUGAGAGGGGAAACUUUGUAGGUUAAAUGGUCCUACACUUAAACUAGGCCUGGUUACAACAGAAAACAGCAUCAUUCUGUCCCAAAGGAUUGGUGGACUGAGGAUGUAUCCAUUAUAAACAUAGAUCUUUUCAGGUGCAUAAUAAUGACUACUAGAUCAACACAUGUUCUUCCACCACAGCUUAUUGGUGAAGCUUUACAUGUCUAUGCAUGUAAGUGGUUACCUUGUAUCAUAAA